UACGAAGGGGGCUAGCGUUGCUCGGAAUCACUGGGCGUAAAGGGCGCGUAGGCGGCUUUUUAAGUCGGGGGUGAAAGCCUGUGGCUCAACCACAGAAUUGCCUUAGAUACUGGAAAGCUUGAGUUCGGUAGAGGUUGGUGGAACUGCGAGUGUAGAGGUGAAAUUCGUAGAUAUUCGCAAGAACACCGGUGGCGAAGGCGGCCAACUGGACCGACACUGACGCUGAGGCGCGAAAGCGUGGGGAGCAAACAGG
rnacentral:rRNA from 1 species